ACGGGGAGCAGCAGGCGCGAAACCUUUACACUGCACGACAGUGCGAUAGGGGGACUCCGAGUGCGAGGGCAUACAGUCCUCGCUUUUCUGUACCGUAAGGUGGUACAGGAACAAGUGCUGGGCAAGACCGGUGCCAGCCGCCGCGGUAAUACCGGCAGCACGAGUGAUGGCCGCUCUUAUUGGGCCUAAAGCGUUCGUAGCCGGCCGGACAAGUCCGUUGGGAAAUCUGCGCGCUUAACGCGCAGGCGGCCAGCGGAAACUGUCCGGCUUGGGGCCGGAAGACUCGAGGGGUACGUCCAGGGUAGGAGUGAAAUCCCAUAAUCCUGGACGGACCGCCGGUGGCGAAAGCGCCUCGGAAGGACGGACCCGACGGUGAGGGACGAAAGCUAGGGUCACGAACCGGAUUAGAUACCCGGGUAGUCCUAGCCGUAAACGAUGCCCACUAGGUGUGGCACCGGCUACGAGCCGGUGCUGUGCCGUAGCGAAGGCGAGAAGUGGGCCGCCUGGGAAGUACGUCCGCAAGGAUGAAACUUAAAGGAAUUGGCGGGGGAGCA
rnacentral:rRNA from 1 species